AGUGAUGUGAUCAACCAUUUUUUUGGCUAAGUGGUACAUUCCACCUGUAUAAAAGGGGAUGUGAUUGACAUCCAGGUAGCGUGUCAUUUGGGGUCUCGGACGUGACGUCAUUCUUUGUGUGCCGUGUUUAUGUCCAGCAGUGUGGCUGAGGAGAGAUUUUAUUUGCGGAUAAACGUUUAUCUCUGCAAACCUCCAACUCGUACGCCAGUGAGUGCGCGGGUCAGUGCGAGUCUUUAUCUGCAGUGACACGGGGGGGCCAGGAGGUGUUGCAGCAGGCUUUUGGUGAUCUAUUUGAAAAUACGAGUAUCUUUAUGUGUUUGAGUCUCGGCACCGGAGAGCUUUCGGGCGCAGCGGAUUGUCUUUCAUUGUGCCUGCUAAUUCUUUCGACUACUCUUCUGCCAUUUACCGGACGGUGAAUGUUGUUGUUGCACCGCAUACUCUGAUUUAAUUGACCGACUUCCUUGUAGUGUACGUGGAUUAAUUUGACGAUCGGAACGAUCGCGUUCCCGGUCUGAAGCGACGCAUUGCCCUCAAAUAUUUAUUGACUAAAAACUUGUGGUGGGGUAAUUACAGUGACGAAUCACUAAGUGUUUGACACGACCAUUGUGUUUGACUGUUUCUUUGUCAGAGGAUUUCUUAUUGAACUGCUUCAUUGACGGUUGUAUUUUAUUUUUGUAUAUGCAUACUGUUGACACUUCACAAGAUGUUAUGCUGCCCACAGUUUGUGAGUACCAGUGAGUGAGGAUUGCCAGUAACCUGGUGUCCUUGGUUCCGUCAGGCAGCAAGUGAUAAGUGUUUCUGACAAACUAUACUUUGAUGUGCAUAUGUGACUGUGUGUAUGUGUGUGAAUGCAUGUAUUUGUUUCUUAUCCUGUUUUGUUUCUUUUCCCUUCAGAAUUGGGGGGUACCAGUCCUAGCCAGUGUCCUGUGUGUGGUGGUGGUGCGGCUGUGGAUUUGCAGUGUUCACAACGUGGGUGUUGGUGCUGUGUUGUGAGGGCACGAGUGGUUGCUGUGUUCACUGGAUAAGUAACUUGAAUCCCCCAGUUCGGAAGUUGGAAAAAUGUGUUUGCAUUUCAUGUUUUUAUGAUCAACGCUUAUUUUUUUUAUUGUUUAUGAAUCUCGUAUGUAUUAAAUAGUGAUUUUAAUAAAUUUGUUGAAUUCUUUAUACUGUUGUCUGAUAUCUGUCUCAGCCACCACGUAUCUGUGUGCUGGUGGUACAUUGUAUACCGGUAGGUCCCCGGCCGAUUUCCGGGGUGGCGUAGUCUAUUUCUUGCCAUCGUUGGCGCUGGGUUAAAUUCCCGACAGCAGCGUGCCACACUAAAUAUUAUUCUCUUUCUCAUUU